GGCUCGAUGGCGGUGGGACCGCGCCUGCGCAUCAUAGGUGUCCCAAGAAUCUGCUCACGUUUGAUGCAGGAUGUACACUCGUUCGACUCGGGUUCGAGCUA